rnacentral:rRNA from 1 species
AACACGUGGGGAAAUUUUCCCUAGGAUGGGGGAUACCAUUUGAAAACGGAUGAUAAAUUCCUCAUUUUUUUUCUAAGACCGCAUGGUCUAGGAAAGAAAAGCGGCUUUGCUUGUCCGUUCUUAGAGAUCCCGCGGCGUAUUUAGUUAGUGGGUGGGGUAAAGGCCUACCAAGGCCAUGAUACGUAGCCGACCUGAGAGGGUGAUCGGCCACACUGGGACUGAGACACGGCCCAGACUCCUCCGGGAGGCAGCAGUAGGGAAUCUUCCACAAUGGGUGAAAACCUGAUGGAGCAAUGCCGCGUGAAUGAAGAAGGUCUUCGGAUCGUAAAGUUCUGUUAUUAGAGAAGAACAAGUCAAGGAGUAACUGUCUUGACUUUGACGGUACCUAACCAGAAAGUCACGGCUAACUACGUGCCAGCAGCCGCGGUAAUACGUAGGUGACAAGCGUUGUCCGGAAUUAUUGGGCGUAAAGGGAGCGCAGGCGGUUGGAAUAGUCUGAUGUGAAAGCCCACGGCUUAACCGUGGAAGGUCAUUGGAAACUGUCCAACUUGAAUACAGAAGAGGUAAGUGGAAUUCCAAGUGUAGCGGUGAAAUGCGUAGAUAUUUGGAGGAACACCAGUGGCGAAGGCGACUUACUGGUCUGUAAUUGACGCUGAGGCUCGAAAGCGUGGGUAGCAAACAGGAUUAGAUACCCUGGUAGUCCACGCCGUAAACGAUGAGUGCUAAGUGUUAGGGGGUUUCCGCCCCCUUAGUGCUGGAGUUAACGCAUUAAG